rnacentral:rRNA from 1 species
AACGAACGCUGGCGGCAGGCCUAACACAUGCAAGUCGAGCGAGGACUUCGGUUCUAGUGGCGGACGGGGGAGUAACGCGUGGGAAUGUGCCCUUCUCUACGGAAUAGCCCUGGGAAACUGGGAGUAAUACCGUAUACGCCCCAUUGGGGAAAGAUUUAUCGGAGAAGGAUCAGCCCGCGUUGGAUUAGGUAGUUGGUGGGGUAAUGGCCUACCAAGCCGACGAUCCAUAGCUGGUUUGAGAGGAUGAGCAGCCACACUGGGACUGAGACGCGGCCCAGACUCCUACGGGAGGCAGCAGUGGGGAAUCUUAGACAAUGGGGGCAACCCUGAUCUAGCCAGGCCGCGUGAGUGAUGAAGGCCUUAGGGUUGUAAAGCUCUUUAAGCUGGGAAGAUAAUGACGGUACCAGCAGAAGAAGCCCCGGCUAACUCCGUG